rnacentral:tRNA from 1 species
GCACCCGUAGCUCAGCUUGGAUAGAGCACUUGCCUCCUAAGCAAGGGGUCGGGGGUUCGAAUCCCCUCGGGUGCG